GCGGCGGUAGCUCAAUGGUAGAGCCCUAGCCUUCCAAGCUAGUGAUGCGGGUUCAAUUCCCGUUCGCCGCU
rnacentral:tRNA from 1 species